CCCUUAGAUGCUCUGGGCCGCACGCGCGCUACACUAGUCGAUGCAACGAGUUUCUUUCCUUGGCCGACAGGCCUGGGCAAUCUUUGAACAUCGAUCGUGAUCGGGAUAGAUUCUUGUAAUUUUUGAUCUUAAACGAGGAAUUCCUAGUAAACGCAAGUCAUCAGCUUGCAUUGAUUACGUCCCUGCCCUUUGUACACACCGCCCGUCGCACCUACCGAUUGAAUGGUCCGGUGAAAUCUCCGGACUGGCGUGAGUCGGAGCAAUCUGACAAACGCCGGAAAGUUGAUUAAACCUUACCAUUUAGAGGAAGGUGAAGUCGUAACA
rnacentral:rRNA from 1 species